GGAAGACUUAAGAUCUUCUGUACAUAAGUACGCGUGGGUUCGAACCCCACAGCCUGCAAAUUUUGUUCCACAAUUCACGUUCAAGUUGGUUUCUUUUAUCGUGUUAGCUCUUUUAUCGUGUUAGCGUAUUGUUUUUCUUCUUUUCUACACGUCCUGGACUGAAGAAGCCACCUCCACGUAACGUUAUGUUCCAGUUUCCACACCCCUCCUUUUAGGCUCUGGAAAUGAAAACAAAGCAAAAACGUUUCGCAAGUGACAACGAAAAAACAUUCGGUCGACUAACCUUCCAUGAGUCGGGGACCUACUGCACCCACAAUUGCCCGCAAUGACUCCCACGAGCCACCACCUCCAUUUCUGGACGUUUACAACAUAAUCCUUAUCCAUGACCUCCUAUCUGACCAUCCGUCCCUCCGCUACCCUGAGGUGCGAGCCGCCGCCGCCGCCGCCUUAGGAGACGUCAGUAACCUGUCGAGGCCGCCGUUUGUUACUCUGGACCUGCACAUGGACUUGAUGGACUGGUUG
rnacentral:misc_RNA from 1 species